GACAGAGGUCCCGAGCGUUAGGCGGAAUCACUGGGCUUAAAGCGUGUGUAGGCGGAUUGGUAAGUACCUUGUGAAAUCCCACGGCUUAACCGUGGAACUGCUUGGUAUACUGCUUAUCUUGGGCCACUUAGGGGCUACCGGAACAAGCGGUGGAGCGGUGAAAUGCGUAGAUAUCGCUUGGAACGCCGAAGGUGAAAACAGGUCGCUGGGGAUGUGCCGACGCUGAGACACGAAAGCCAGGGGAGCAAACGGG
rnacentral:rRNA from 1 species